UCUCGCUUCCCUCCCACACGCCACGCGAUUUUCUCCGCCUUCCUCGCCGCCUCUUUCCCACAACCGCUCCACGCGCUUAUCAAUCGCACCCGCCCGCCCUCUCCUGUCGCCGCCUCCUCCGCUCCCCAUCGCCGCCUCUCCCUCCACCGCUCCGCCCCCGAUCCGUGAAAAAGGAAGAACGCCGCCAGCCGCUCUGCCUCCCUGCAGUCCUGCACCCACCAUUCCACCAAUCUGUGCGGCCACGAGUACCACCGCCGGCACAAGGUCUUCUCCAAGACCCGUCGUCGUCGCCAGCCAGCAGCAAUGCUUCGAUCUGUCAACAGUGCAGCAGCCAGCAGAUUGGAUUGCUGGCUGUCCUCCAUGGCAUCUCUACUGCUCACUGAGCCCACUGGAUCAUCCAGUUUGCCACCAGGUACAUUGCUUUGUGUAUAUGCUUCCCUACUGCUCGAUAAUAUGAUUCAAUGGUUUAAUUAAUCUCCUGUAUAUACGGAGUUCAUGGUGUUUUCAACAGCUCAGAUUUAUUUGGUGUAUAGUGUGAUUCAGUAUCUGAAACAACAAACUUUCUCUCCUCGGUCCUCUCAUAUCUUGAUGGAGGACACAAAUGGUACCGUAAUCCAUGGCAUCACGGUGUAUUGUGUCCAAGUUGGGAAAAAAAUAUACAUAUAGUUCUGGGUUUUUUUCUGGGUGGCAACUAGCUUGCACAUGGUAAUAGUAGCUCCAAGGUAUUAUUUCAUAUCACUCUUGAGUACAUGAAGAGUUUUUCUUUAAAAAAAAUAUAGAUGUAGUUGUCGAUCUGUUUACCUCUGUACAAUAUUCAAGCGUCAUUCAGUGUCUGAGGCAUUCAGUGCUGAUUUAUCCUAGAUUUAGAUUUGGCUGUAUGUAAAUACUUAACAAAAUUGAUGUGAUUUUCCAUUGGAGAAAAUUGAAUCUACGGUGACACCUGACCUGCUAGGCGGUGAUGCUGCCCACUGGUGUUGCUGAAUGUUUUGUCGCAGUGAGGAUGGAGACCUCUUUAAUCAGAAUAAUGACUUUGCAAUCAGCCAGAUGACAAACUAUCAGCUCCGAGAUAUCCCAUGAAGUAAAGCUUGCCUUACCUAUCCCCUAAAUUGUUUGCAACAAGCAUAAACUGAACAAAAUUCAGAUAGCAAAUCUAACUAGAUUGCUCCUUUUUCUACACCUACUCAUGUUACAUAUUGUUUUCUAGCUUUGUUUCUGUUUUAGUGCUUACAUUAUACAUCAA